rnacentral:rRNA from 1 species
UACAGAGGUCUCAAGCGUUGUUCGGAAUUACUGGGCGUAAAGGGUGCGCAGGCCGCGCGGGCAGUCAAUUGUGUAAUUCAGGGGCUCAACCCCUGGACUGCGCUUGAUACUUCCGCGCUCGAGCUUUGGAGAGGAGUCUGGAAUUCUCGGUGUAGCAGUGAAAUGCGUGGAUAUCGAGAAGAACACUUAGGGCGAAGGCAAGACCCUGGACAAAUGCUGACGCUCAUGCACGAAGGCUAGGGUAGCGAACGGG